CAAUAGCGUAUAUUAAAGUUGUUGCAGUUAAAAAGCUCGUAGUUGAACUUCAGACCUGGCCGGGCGGUCUGCCUAACGGUAUGUACUGUCUGGCUGGGUCUUACCUCUUGGUGAGCCGGCAUGCCCUUUACUGGGUGUGUCGGGGAACCAGGACUUUUACCUUGAGAAAAUUAGAGUGUUCAAAGCAGGCCUAUGCCUGAAUACAUUAGCAUGGAAUAAUAAAAUAGGACGUGCGGUUCUAUUUUGUUGGUUUCUAGAGUCGCCGUAAUGAUUAAUAGGGAUAGUUGGGGGCAUUAGUAUUCAGUUGCUAGAGGUGAAAUUCUUGGAUUUACUGAAGACUAACUACUGCGAAAGCAUUUGCCAAGGAUGUUUNCAUUA
rnacentral:rRNA from 1 species